UGUCAUUAAAUGCCCCUGGAAAAUAUGAUUUUUGUUCAAAGGACAGUGCAAUAUUAAUUCAGUGUCUGGCAUCAUUGAUUUUCUUGGCUUUGUGCAUGUUAGACCUGAUAUUUCUACUGACACAGUA